CCUACGGGUGGCAGCAGGGGGGAAUAUUGGGCAAUGGGCGCAAGCCUGACCCAGCAACGCCGCGGGAAGGAAGAAGGCCCUCGGGUGGUAAACUUCUUUUAACAGGGACGAAGAAAGUGACGGUACCUGGUGAAUAAGCCACGGCUAACUACUGGCCAGCAGCAGCGGUAAUACGUAGGUGGCAAGAGUUCUGCGGAUUGACUGGGUGUAAAGGGGGUGUAGGCGGGAGAGCAAGUCAGACGGGAAAUUCCAGGGCUCCACCCUGGAACUGCGUUUGAAACUGUUCUUCUUGAGUGCUGGGGCGGCCGGCGGCCUUCCGUGUGUAGCGGUGCAACGCGUAGAUCUACGGAGGAACCCCCGUUGCGACGUCGGCCUGCUGUACCUUAACUGCCGCUGCUGCGCGAAAGCGUGGGUAGCACACAGGAUUAGAUACCCCAGUAGUC
rnacentral:rRNA from 1 species